UAGGGAAUCUUCCACAAUGGACGCAAGUCUGAUGGAGCAACGCCGCGUGAGUGAAGAAGGUUUUCGGAUCGUAAAGCUCUGUUGUUGGUGAAGAAGGAUAGGGGCAGUAACUGGUCUUUAUUUGACGGUAAUCAACCAGAAAGUCACGGCUAACUACGUGCCAGCAGCCGCGGUAAUACGUAGGUGGCAAGCGUUGUCCGGAUUUAUUGGGCGUAAAGCGAGCGCAGGCGGAAUGAUAAGUCUGAUGUGAAAGCCCACGGCUCAACCGUGGAACUGCAUCGGAAACUGUCAUUCUUGAGUGCAGAAGAGGAGAGUGGAAUUCCAUGUGUAGCGGUGGAAUGCGUAGAUAUAUGGAAGAACACCAGUGGCGAAGGCGGCUCUCUGGUCUGCAACUGACGCUGAGGCUCGAAAGCAUGGGUAGCGAACAGG
rnacentral:rRNA from 1 species